GCCUGCCCAAUGACUCUGUUUAACGGCCGCGGUAUCCUAACCGUGCGAAGGUAGCGUAAUCACUUGUUCUCUAAAUGAGGACUAGUAUGAACGGCAUCACGAGGGUUAUACUGUCUCCUUUUUCUAAUCAGUGAAACUAACCUCCCCGUGAAGAGGCGGGGAUAAAACUAUAAGACGAGAAGACCCUAUGGAGCUUUAAACAAUAUAGCACCUGCCAUAUAGUAUAAUAAAUUUACGAAUCCCUUAUUCUAAGACAAUAUGACUAUAAGUUUUUGGUUGGGGUGACCGCGGAGCAAAACUUAACCUCCAUGUUGAAAAUUUUAAGCUAAGAAUCACCCUUCUAAGCAUCAAUACAUUGACACCAAUUGACCCAAUACACUUGAACAACGAACCAAGUUACCCUAGGGAUAACAGCGCA
rnacentral:rRNA from 1 species